UACGGAGGGUGCAAGCGUUAUCCGGAUUCACUGGGCUUAAAGGGUGCGUAGGAGGGCAGGUAAGUCAGUGGUGAAAUCUCCGAGCUUAACUUGGAAACUGCCGUUGAUACUAUCUGUCUUGAAUAUUGUGGAGGUGAGCGGAAUAUGUCAUGUAGCGGUGAAAUGCUUAGAUAUGACAUAGAACACCAAUUGCGAAGGCAGCUCGCUACACAUAUAUUGACUCUGAGGCACGAAAGCGUGGGGAUCAAACAGG
rnacentral:rRNA from 1 species